rnacentral:lncRNA from 1 species
CAUCAUCACCGCCGCCACCACCACCAUCUCUCUCCGCCCACGAAAGAUCCGAAAGGUUUCUUCCUCCUUCUCCUCCUCGGUGUUGGCCGAAGACGCCUUCAAGAAGAACCCUUCCUCCGAUGGCCGCCUCGCCGUCCGCGUGAUCCCUCGCCCGCUGUCCGCCGACGGGGAGAUCGUCGUCGCCCUCCGCCACCUCCGCGCCGCCGACCCCCACCUCGGCCGCGUCAUGGACGCCCACGAGCUCCCGGCCUUCCAGUACCUCCACCCGCCCUUCCACGCCCUCGCCCGCAGCAUCCUCUACCAGCAGCUCGCCUUCAAGGCCGCCGCCUCCGUCUACUCCCGCUUCCUCUCCCUCUGUGGCGGCGAGGCCGGCGUCGUGCCCGAGGCCAUCCUCGCCCUCACGCCCCAUCAGCUCCGCCAGAUCGGCGUCUCCGGCCGCAAGGCUUCCUACCUCCACGACCUCGCCCGAAAGUACCACACCGGUAUCCUCUCCGACGCUGCCAUCGUUGCCAUGGACGACAAGUCUCUCUUCACUAUGCUCACCAUGGUCAAAGGCAUCGGCGCCUGGUCCGUCCACAUGUUUAUGAUCUUCUCUCUCCACCGCCCGG